CGGCCGUGAGGAAGCGCAGAGUGAAGAAGAGAGUCCAGCCCGAGUUCUAUCACUCCGUGCAGCUCACGCCAACACGCAAACCAGUAGGUAUUCCCUCAUCUACAAGGCGUUUACUCGCAGUCCACUCUUAGAAAUCAUGCUUCUUUACUGGCAUCUAUGGUUCCAUACAGAGUUCCGUUGGAACCCUUCAAUGCACAAAAUGUUCUUUAUAGUGGAAAAGGGUUCUUCCCAGUAGCCUAGGAAAAACAAUGGUUCUUCUAACCAUUAACUGAAAGGUUCUUCGGGGAACUACAUGUGGGGAACUUUGGGAACUGCACCUUUAUUUGUAAGAGUCUAUAGACCUUAUUACUGCGCAAAAGCUAUGGUAUAAGCUAGUUACCAUUAAAUAAAAAUCAACCUUAUUCAUUCUCUUAAUACACAACUGUUUUAUUAAGUAUGAUUCAUCACAAUCUUUCCUACAACUUUCAUUUUUGGUUGCCCUUAGCAAGUUUUUUUUUCAAUCCCUCCCUCCAGUCACUUCUAGACCCCUUUUCACCAUCCAAAAAUGACAGAAAACCAAUACUAUACAUCAUUUCUUUUGCUCACAAAUACAUGAGAUUCCAGAAGUGGGCUGGUGAGUCAGUUUGUGUUUCUCAGUCAGCUGCAAUGGUUACUCAGAUGGUACUUUUAAUACCUUAUGAUCAGUCUUAUUGAUGGUGAUUCUCCAAUAUAACCAAUAUAUCUUUUAAAAUAUGAACUCUUUUUCCUCUUUGACCAUGUCAAAUUAAAAAGUAUUUGUAUUUUCAGUCAUGUCUAAUUUGUGUCACCUUAAAAAUGUAACCAAUAAAUAAUGCUUUUCCUUGCAUGACACAUAAUGUUUAGGAUAUAUACCAGAUUUUAAACCACUCUGUAAUUUCAUAUAUGUGGAAAUUCUAGGAACAUAAUGCAGAAAAAAACACUUAUUUGAUUCAAGCAGUAGAAACACGACAGGACUCUUAUGAAAGGUAGGAAAGUGAUCAAAGGCCCUUUGUAAGUGAUAUUUAUACUCAGAAUAACAGGAUGUGGAUUCGGCAUGCUACUCAUUUCUUCUUCCUUCCUUCGAUAUAGGCCCUUCCUUUUAAACCGCUAUACUGUAUAAUUGCUAGUGAACAGUGUCCAUCUCAACUUUCUUGUGCACUCUUAGUUUGAUCGAUAACGGAAUCUCACUGCACUGGUGAGCGACAUUGAGAAUGUCUGAGCAUUUUCUAAAAAUAUCCCAGAAAUAAAUGUACUGUAAAGCUGCUUCUGAUGUAUUACCUUACAACAGAACUUGAUCUUUUUCGUUGGAGGCACAGUCAAUAAUAGUACAAUAGAAUGCAACGUAUUGCACUGCAUACUGUGUAGUACAUAAUGUAUAUACUGCAUAACCUUUUUUAUUUUUUGUUUUGUACAUGUGUCAUUCCCAGAAAUUUGGGGUAGGAUUUACUUUGGAGCAAUGUUCACUCAGAAAUUGCUUGUAAAUUUCACAAAUCACAAAGAAACGGCAUGUAACACAUUUAAUUGAAUGUUAAAGACCGAA
ensembl:lncRNA